UGUUGGUUCAUGCGUCGACGGGUAGCCGGCCUGAGAGGGUGACCGGCCACACUGGGACUGAGACACGGCCCAGACUCCUACGGGAGGCAGCAGUGGGGAAUAUUGCACAAUGGGCGAAAGCCUGAUGCAGCGACGCCGCGUGAGGGAUGACGGCCUUCGGGUUGUAAACCUCUUUCAGCAGGGACGAAGCGAAAGUGACGGUACCUGCAGAAGAAGCACCGGCCAACUACGUGCACAC
rnacentral:rRNA from 1 species